UGGAAGGAUACAGAAUGGAGGUGGCACUGGCAGUCUUGAGAGACACUGAUGAUCUCAGUAUGCUCUGCCACUGUUGUGGAGAAAGCGAGACAGAGAAGGGCUCAGACAGCGACAGCAACACCACUGACUGGAUUGAGUGUGACCAGUGUCAGCGGUGGUACCACAACAAAUGUGUUGGCAAUCCAGAUGGCAGCGUGUCGUACAGCUGUGGCGCUUGCAGAAAGUGAAAAGGAUGUUGACUCGCCCUAAAUGCCCAGUGCAAUCCCCCCAUCAACAAUGUCCAGAUUAAACAAGUUGAAAAAAGAAGACAUACGUUUUGUAAAUAUUCCAUAAAUGUUAUUAAAACAAUUUGUAAAUGUUUGGAUAAAGAGAGUAACAAUUAUCUUGUGUAUUAUUUGUAAAGACUAAAGGUAUUUAAAUUUGGGUUUAUUAUAGUGCAGGUACAGUAAGGUAACACUUUCUGAUGGCUAUCAGAAAUGGUGACCUGGGCUUUUCUGUCCCUGUAGAGUGACAUACUUUUAUAAAUUGUGUCCGAAAUAAAGAGGAGAGAUGUAGGAGUACAUAAAAACACAUUUUUUUCUGCUGUGGGUUUAUUAUAAUGCAGGUACAGUAAGGGAACACUUUCUGACAGC